rnacentral:lncRNA from 1 species
GUGCUGGCCUCAAAGCAGAGGCUCAGAAACUUUUUCUGCUUGCUGAUGCAUCUGAAAUCCCUGUUAACUAGCUGGACUAUUUCCCAGCCCUUCGCCAAGUGCCACCCUUGAGGCAUCUCUUAACCACCCCCAACUGCUACCACCCAAGAUAAGCAGGUGUGGCUCUGGGCCCCUCAGCAGCAGGCCAGUGGAGAGGUGAGACUAGCAGUGUGUGGCCUGGGACAGGAGUAGAUAAAAGGCAGCCAUGGUGUGCUCCACUGGGCACCACAACAUACGGUUCAGACGUUUAAAGCCUGUCUCAGCCCAAUUUCCUCUCCAUUUGCUCCCUGGGUAAGGUAUCCCCCCUUCAGUGCAGGCAGAACUGGCGACUUGCUUCUAAUCAACAAAAUAUGGCAAAGUGGUGGAGUCUAGAAGUCUGAGAUCAGGGCACCAGCCUGGCCGAGUUCUGAUGGCGUCUCGCUUUGUCACCCAGGCUGGAGUGCAGUGGCGCGAUCUCGGUUCACUGCAACAUCUACCUCCCAGGUUCAAGUGAUUCUCCUGCCUUAGCCUCCCGAGUAGCUGGGAUUACAGGCACCCACCACCACAUCCGGCGAAUUUUUUGUAUUUUUAGUAGAGACAGGGUUUCACCAUGUUGGCCAGGAUGGUCUUGAUUUCCUGACCUGGUGAUCUGCCCACCUUGGCCUCCCAAACUGCUGGGAUUGCAGGCGUGAGCCACCGUGCCUGGCCGACCACUGAUCUUUUCACUGUAUCCACAGUGUUGCCUUUUCCAGAAUGUCAUAGAAUUUGAAUCAUACUAUAUGUUGCCCUUUCAGAUGAGUUUCUUUCACUUACUAAUAUUCAUUUGUUUCCUCCAUGUCUUUUGGCUUGAUAAUUCAUUUCUUUUUAUCACUGAAUAAUAUUCCAUUGUCUGAUGUACCACAGUUUAUUUACGCAUUUACCUACUGAAGGAUAUCAGGACAUCUUAGUUGCCUCUGAGUUUUUGGCAAUUAUGAAUAAAACUGCUAUAGAAAGAUGUGUGCAGGUUUUUCUGUGGAUAUAGUUUUCAACUCCUUUGGGUAACUCCAAGGAGUGUGGUCGCUGGAUCAUAUAGUAAGAGUAUGUGUAGUUUUGUAACAAAUAGCCAAAUGUUCUCCAAAGUGGCAUUAGCAUUUUGCUUUCCCACCAGCAAGGAAUAAGAGUUCCUGUUGCUCUGUAUCCUCACCAGCAUUUGGUGGUGUCAGUGUUCUGGAUUUUGGCCAUUGUAAUAAAUGUGUGGUGUUAUCUCAUUGUUGUUUUAAUUUGCAUUUGCCUGAUGACAUACAAUGUGGAACAUCUUUUUAUUGAAGCUAAUGUUUUAAGCCUGGCAAUUUAGUCUCUUCUCUUCCUGUAACCCUGAGCCACUGAGCACAGCUUUCUCCAGAAGCACCUGUGAGUCACUAUACACCACUGCUAUCUCCUGAAUGCUGGAGGCACUGGAGUGGGCCCUUUCAACUUUCAUUUUCUUAUUACCUAGAGAACUUGGCAUUGGUAGAUGCCCAAAAAAUGUAUGUGAGAUGCCUGCACAUUAAAAGACUGGCUGAAAACUUAAGCAGUAUACUGGUUUAGAUCAUUCAUCGCUGUCGGCAAGAGUAAAAAGCUAUGUAGCAGCAU